rnacentral:rRNA from 1 species
UGCACUGGGGGUUGUAGGACUGCAAUGUGCAAGAGGUAAGUUUAGCAGAACAUUCUGGAAAGUAUAACCAUAGAGGGUGAUAGUCCCGUAUGCGAAAAACAAACCUUAGCUAGCAGUAUCCUGAGUAGGGCGGGACACGAGGAAUCCUGUCUGAAUCCGGGUCGACCACGAUCCAACCCUAAAUACUAAUACCAGAUCGAUAGUGCACAAGUACCGUGAGGGAAAGGUGAAAAGAACUGAGGUGAUCAGAGUGAAAUAGAACCUGAAACCAUUUGCUUACAAUCAUUCAGAGCCCUAUGUAGCAAUACAGGGUGAUGGACUGCCUUUUGCAUAAUGAGCCUGCGAGUUGUGGUGUCUGGCAAGGUUAAGCAAACGCGAAGCCGUAGCGAAAGCGAGUCUGAAUAGGGCGCUUAGUCAGAUGCUGCAGACCCGAAACGAAGUGAUCUAUCCAUGAGCAAGUUGAAGCUAGUGUAAGAACUAGUGGAGGACUGAACCCAUAGGCGUUGAAAAGCCCCGGGAUGACUUGUGGAUAGGGGUGAAAGGCCAAUCAAACUUCGUGAUAGCUGGUUCUCUCCGAAAUAUAUUUAGGUAUAGCGUUGUGUCGUAAUAUAAGGGGGUAGAGCACUGAAUGGGCUAGGGCAUACACCAAUGUACCAAACCCUAUCAAACUCCGAAUACCUUAUAUGUAAUCACAGCAGUCAGGCGGCGAGUGAUAAAAUCCGUCGUCAAGAGGGAAACAACCCAGACUACCAGCUAAGGUCCCUAAAUCUUACUUAAGUGGAAAACGAUGUGAAGUUACUUAAACAACCAGGAGGUUGGCUUAGAAGCAGCCAUCCUUUAAAGAAAGCGUAAUAGCUCACUGGUCUAGUGAUUUUGCGCGGAAAAUAUAACGGGGCUAAAGUAAGUACCGAAGCUGUAGACUUGCACACAACUUAGAUUAUUUAAGUUUAGAAUAUGAGAAACUAAGUUAUAUGUUUAGUUAUAUUUUUACUGAUUUUUAUAGAGUAAAGAUAGAAAUAAAACUUAGUAAAAUCAGUAAAAAUAUUCUUAGACUAAAGUUAAGUAGUUUAAGUUGUGUGCAAGUGGUAGGAGAGCGUUCUAUUUGCGUCGAAGGUAUACCGGUAAGGAGUGCUGGAGCGAAUAGAAGUGAGCAUGCAGGCAUGAGUAGCGAUAAUUAAUGUGAGAAUCAUUAACGCCGUAAACCCAAGGUUUCCUACGCGAUGCUCGUCAUCGUAGGGUUAGUCGGGUCCUAAGUCGAGUCCGAAAGGGGUAGACGAUGGCAAAUUGGUUAAUAUUCCAAUACCAACAUUAGUGUGCGAUGGAAGGACGCUUAGGGCUAAGGGGGCUAGCGGAUGGAAGUGCUAGUCUAAGGUCGUAGGAGGUUAUACAGGCAAAUCCGUAUAACAAUACUCCGAGAACUGAAAGGCUUUUUGAAGUCUUCGGAUGGAUAGAAGAACCCCUGAUGCCGUCGAGCCAAGAAAAGUUUCUAAGUUUAGCUAAUGUUGCCCGUACCGUAAACCGACACAGGUGGGUGGGAUGAGUAUUCUAAGGCGCGUGGAAGAACUCUCUUUAAGGAACUCUGCAAAAUAGCACCGUAUCUUCGGUAUAAGGUGUGGUUAGCUUUGUAUUAGGAUUUACUCCGAAAGCAAGGAAACUUACAACAAAGAGUCCCUCCCGACUGUUUACCAAAAACACAGCACUCUGCUAACUCGUAAGAGGAUGUAUAGGGUGUGACGCCUGCCCGGUGCUCGAAGGUUAAUUGAUGGGGUUAGCAUUAGCGAAGCUCUUGAUCGAAGCCCGAGUAAACGGCGGCCGUAACUAUAACGGUCCUAAGGUAGCGAAAUUCCUUGUCGGUUAAAUACCGACCUGCAUGAAUGGCGUAACGAGAUGGGAGCUGUCUCAAAGAGGGAUCCAGUGAAAUUGUAGUGGAGGUGAAAAUUCCUCCUACCCGCGGCAAGACGGAAAGACCCCGUGGACCUUUACUACAGCUUGACACUGCUACUUGGAUAAGAAUGUGCAGGAUAGGUGGGAGGCUUUGAGUAUAUGACGCCAGUUGUAUAUGAGCCAUUGUUGAGAUACCACUCUUUCUUAUUUGGGUAGCUAACCAGCUUGAGUUAUCCUCAAGUGGGACAAUGUCUGGUGGGUAGUUUGACUGGGGCGGUCGCCUCCCAAAUAAUAACGGAGGCUUACAAAGGUUGGCUCAGAACGGUUGGAAAUCGUUCGUAGAGUAUAAAGGUAUAAGCCAGCUUAACUGCAAGACAUACAAGUCAAGCAGAGACGAAAGUCGGUCUUAGUGAUCCGGUGGUUCUGUGUGGAAGGGCCAUCGCUCAAAGGAUAAAAGGUACCCCGGGGAUAACAGGCUGAUCUCCCCCAAGAGCUCACAUCGACGGGGAGGUUUGGCACCUCGAUGUCGGCUCAUCGCAUCCUGGGGCUGGAGCAGGUCCCAAGGGUAUGGCUGUUCGCCAUUUAAAGCGGUACGCGAGCUGGGUUCAGAACGUCGUGAGACAGUUCGGUCCCUAUCUGCCGUGGGCGUAAGAAGAUUGAAGAGAUUUGACCCUAGUACGAGAGGACCGGGUUGAACAAACCACUGGUGUAGCUGUUGUUCUGCCAAGAGCAUCGCAGCGUAGCUAAGUUUGGAAAGGAUAAACGCUGAAAGCAUCUAAGCGUGAAGCCAACUCUAAGAUGAAUCUUCUCUAAGCUCUCUAGAAGACUACUAGUUUGAUAGGCUGGGUGUGUAAUGGAUGAAAGUCCUUUAGCUGACCAGUACUAAUAGAGCGUUUGGCUUAUCUUUAAUAAAGCAU